ensembl:lncRNA
CUGAUAAAACAGUUUGCAUUAAAGAAGCUGGCCAAAUCCCACCAAAACCGAGAUGGCAAGGAUGUGACCUCUGUUUGUCCUCACUGCUCAUUAUAGGCCAAUUAUAAUACAUUAGCAUGCUAAAAGACACUCCCAUCAGCACCAUAACAGUUUACAAAUGCCGUGGCAACAUCAGGAAGUUACCCUAUAUGGUCUAAAAAGGGGAGGAACCUUCAGUUCUGGGAAUUGUCCACCGCUUUCCCGGAAAGUUCAUAAAUAAUACCCUGCUCUUAUCAUGGCAUAAAUCAGAGGAAAGUAAACAGACCAAGAUGAUCUUUGUAAAAUUCCUGUAAUUGUUAAGUAUGAUUGAACAACAGCAUAAUACUCUCCUAACUGAUUCCCACAGGUGCAUGCAUUGAGCCGAGGGCUGGGAGAGCACUUUGUUGGGAGCCCUAGUUAAGGGGUUCACGGUGCUUGUGAGGAGCAGAGAUGCAUGAGCCUCCCCGCUGACUUUUCAGGUCCUCUCACCGCUCUCGGACUCCAUCCUGGCUGAGAAGACGGUGAUCGUCCUGGAUGACUGAGUCACCAUCGCGGAGCUGGGAGUGCAGCUCGUAGCUGGCAUGUCUCUCUCCCUGCAGCCUCACCCAGCAGACAAAAGGGCCAUCGUCUCCACAGCCGCUGCCCUGGAUGUUCUUCAGUCCCCACAACAGGACCUGAUUGCAGAAAAUACAAUUGUUCUUUGGCCUCAUGGAUCUGUGUUCAAACAUUUGCCAGUGGAAACCCAGUGCUGCAUCCUGCUCUCAAUGACCUCCAGCCAAAGCCAGAAGAAGGUACCUGAAGUUGAACAGGCCACACUGAUUUCUCUUUGCACUUCAUGGGGAACUGAGGAGCUUUCUUAUUCAAAGGAUGUUAGAAAGAGCCUUGUAUAG